CAUCCGGGGUGGACGAAUCUGAUCAGCCAUGCCGCGUGAGCGAUGAAGGCCUUCGGAUUGUAAGCUCUUUUUGUCAGGGAAGAAACUGCCCGGACUAGUACCCCACGAAACUGACGGUACCUGGACAACAACCACCGGCUUACUACGUGCCAGCAGCCGCGGUAAU
rnacentral:rRNA from 1 species